rnacentral:lncRNA from 1 species
UCGUUAAAGGUGGGUAACGCCAGUUUGUUUUCGUGCUCGAAUUGUAAAUACAAGUAUGACAUAGCUUUAAAGUUUAUGAUUAACGCUGAUUGGUGCACUUUACCCUCCCCUCGGUGAGUUGGUACGUCCCCGGGCUGAUUCCGAGCGUGUGAAGUUUUGAGUGACAGUGGCGAGUCGCGCUCUGAACGGUUUUUUCGGGUUUGUCUGUACCACGGUACAGGCACAAACAAACAGCAUGCUGGGAGUGGAGCGCAGCCUGAACGGGUGAGGCCCUGGUCCCGCGCUCACAGUCCAAUCUGCGACCAAAGACAGGAGACCAGCCAGCAGAGAAAUAAUGGCUCAAAACGUGAACUUUGACCAGGACUUGUCUCUUAUGGAAACUGGGCUAGAGAGUCCAGUGGAUGAAGAUGGAGUUCACGACUCGUUCCAUCAGCUCAUCCAGGAGCAGAGUCAAAACGCUGGACUCCCGGAGACUUACGAGCUGCAGCAGCUACACAGGGAGCUGGAGGAGGAGGAGGAGGAGGAGGAGGAGGGACGAGGUAUCUUUAAUUUUGUGUUGAGAAACUAAUGUAAAUGUAUGAAAACUAAAAGUCAUGGUUUGUAAGUCUAAGUUCACCUAAAACUUGUCAGUUG